AGCUCACCUACCCAUCUGCCUCUGUUCCUCUCUCUCGCUUUCCUUUAGAUCUCUCUCAGUCUAACCAAUCGAAUUCGACUCGUCGUUUUCAUAGCAACGCAAAAUCCAAUAUCGUAGCCAUGGUGAAUGAAAACCCUUUCAAUAGCAUAUUGAAGACUCUUGAGAAACCUGAUGGUGGUGAAUUCGGCAAGUACUAUAGCUUGCCUGCUCUCAAUGAUCCCAGAAUCGAUAAACUGCCAUAUUCAAUUAGGAUCCUUUUAGAGUCUGCUAUUCGAAACUGCGAUGAGUUUCAGGUUAAGAGUAAGGAUGUUGAGAAGAUUAUUGACUGGAAGAAUACUUCUCCUAAACAAGUUGAAAUCCCAUUUAAGCCUGCCAGAGUACUGCUUCAGGAUUUUACUGGGGUUCCUGCAGUUGUUGAUCUUGCCUGCAUGCGAGAUGC
rnacentral:misc_RNA from 1 species